ACUCUCGCACGGAAAAGCCCCACUUCUCCUCAGCGUCUGGGUGCUGGGCCGUGCUGGGCCCUCCCCCGUGGAACUGGGAUUUAUGAAGCCGUAACCGGCCAGCGCCGCGGCAACCUCCGCUUCAUCCUGGAGCCAGGCCGGCCUCCUGCGCCGCGGAGGGGAGGGCGGUGGGCGGGAGCUGGGCGGAGGCGUGGGGCCGGCGGAAGGCGGCGGGGAGCUCUUCCCGGGAAAGGCCAGCACCUGAGGCUGCACUUUCUCCCCGUUUCCCCUCAGGAAAAGACGCACCAGCAGCCUAGAAUUCGAGGCACUGCAGAGCCGGAAGGGGCCUCGGCGCUGCUCCCUCCGCCCCCUCAUUUCACAAACCGGAAACUGAGACCCAAAGCAAGGAAGGGACUUGGCCAAGUUGAAGAGAUGAAGGCGCAGAGGCAUGAACUCCCGUAGCCAGAGAGUGUGAGCUGGACUCUACCUGGAGCAGCCUCGGUGCAGAGCCCAUGCCCCCAACCAUGUCCGUGGUCGAGGCCCAGCCCAGACAGGGCACAAAGGGGCUGAGGAAGAGGAAGUAAGAUGCCAGGGUUGCCAUGCAGGAGGGCAACCCCAAGUGAGAUGGGCAUCGUGGCCUAGGGCCCACCUUCCGGAAGAGCUCAUCAGAACUUCGGACACACUGCAUGGGCCUAGACCCAGGGCUCGUUGAGCUCCUCCCUCGGAUUGGCUUCGAAUUUUAGGUGAAUCCUCUCUAGCAGCCACAUUCACCCUUGCAAGCCUGCACUUUGUCAUCUUCUGAAAAGGUGCAGGAACAUGAUGCCCAGCUGACUCCCAGGGAGCGGGAGCCCCAGAGGCCAGCGGAGCACAGCCGCAGCAGGCAGAUCUGUUGGGAAACCACGGGAGUAUAGGAGCAGGGCUGGGGGCACCUGAGGGACUGUGGAGCCUGAAUUAUUGAAACGCUUAGAGUAAAGCAGAUUUAGAUUUCACAAAGACAGAGGUGAAGGUGGGUGAAGACGGAGGGAAGGAUUUAAAGGGAAAGAGAAAGAGGAAAGAUAAGAAUGAGGGAGAAAGAGGAAGAGAGAAAGAAAAAGAGAAAUAGAGUUAUCGAAGAUGACUGCAAGUCUGGCCUCUCUCAACCCAAGGAGCCAAGGAGGGGAAGGCCGGCCUGAGCAGCAACGUAGACAAGAGCUCAGGAGGGCAGGGACAGAGCCCUGGCUUCAGCAAGAGCGUGGGGAACAGAGGGCAAGGGGGUCCAUGCAGCCCAGGAUGGCAGGGUGCUCAUACACACAGCCUUGGUCCUGUCCCCUCUCCCAUUGCCGCUUUUGAGCUCACCUUGUUUAAGGCCAAAGCACACACCAUCCUCCCACAGAGCCACUAAUGCAAUUAACAAAACACAUUCAUAAAUCUUGCAUGGCGUCCGGAGCUGUCUCCUCUCCCUAAGCACAAAGGCCAGCUCCAGAGAUGCUGUGCAGAGAGCUGUCUGACCUCUCCAGCGUCAGGGCCCCCUGAAAAGUGCAGCAUAACCCUUAGUAGGACAGAAAGACCAUUGUCUUCUGCCAACCAUUACAAAGUGGAGUGGGGCUGGGGUUAGGAAACACAGACAAAUCAGAAGAGGCUGAGAAGGCGGAGAUGAAAGUGCAUAGGUGUUUGCAGGGAGCUGGGGAAUAGUUCGUGCCUUCCAAGCUCAACAAGAGAGCAUUCAGCAGAGACCAGAGAAUCACCACUUUUGGAGGGUGAUUUUACCUUGUGAGAACAGAGCACAGGGUGUGUGGGACCCAGGGCAUCUUCGGCAAUGCGGGCGUGACUUGGCGGGAUGUCGGUGUUUGUGUUUGCAUGUGUGUGUGCGUGCGUGCAUGCUCAGUCUGGAAAACUGGUGACUCACUAAAACACCGAGCUUUCUGAUCUGAAGAGCUUAUAUUCGGCUAUUUUUAGCUCGUCUUGUCUCUUGGCCCUUUUUUUCCCCUUGUCUGUUUUCAAAUGUAGAGGAGUCUGGAGACCAUGAAUGCCGUGUGUGUGUGUCUGCUAAUUUAGAGCUUGGGCCCAGAGGUGGGUACCCCUGAAGGUGCAGAGAUGAAGGCACGUGGGGUGUAUGUGUGUACAGCAGGGACACACUGACACAGACAGGGUGCACAUGCUCUUAUUCUGGCAUGUACACACGCGUACCAUGCAUACGUGCAAGCAGGAGUGAGGCCAGAAACGUCCCUGGAAACUCCGGCCUACACUCUCUUCACGUGGGUUGGUGUACAGCUACCCACUAUGCAUACUUCACAAGUAUAACUGCCUCCCCACCCCAGCCCCUGCCUCACACGACCCAGGUGGGCACACUCUCAUGAGGCACAUGGCCACAGGCACAGUCUGGGCCUAUCUUGGGGAAUGGCCCCAGCCCCUGUGCCUUGUUUCUUCUCUGUUCAGCCACUCUUCCAAAAAUUAUGACUUCUUCUCAAGAAGGCCUUUCUCUGCUGGUUGGCAAUAGGAAACACGAAGUGCCAGCUUCUGCACUUGGCUUCUCCUGGGACUCAUUCAGCUGAUCCCACCUGCCCACCACCAUUGGCCGAGACCGCCUCCCCAGUCCAGUGGUCAUCCAGCUACAGGGGGUCUGGCAACUGCUUAGAGAGGCCAGGCAGGGGUCAAUGCUGUGUGAGCUCCGUUCCUCUAGCCGGGAGAGAGGGAGAAAGGAGAGCGAGCUCGGAUUGCCAUCUGCCUAGGUGCAGUGUGGGGCAGGCGGGGAGCGGAGCUCGGACUGCCGUCUGCCUAGGUGCAACGUGGGGCAGGCAGGGAGCGGACAGCACUCUUCAAGGCUCUAGAACGCUGGUGGGUUCCUGGACCUUGACUCUGUGUGACAGGACUGUGUAUGCAACCCAGUGUCAAGAGCAGAAAUGCGCAAAUGCUGCCUAUGACCAGUGCCUCAGUGAUGCGGCACGCCUGGGAAAGGGCACCCACAGCCUCUCUUUCCACACAGCACACAUGCUGUGCACUCACGCACAGCAGCACGUGCCUGCAUGCACACACUCUUAGAAGCCUGCGUGAGAGAGAACACGAGCCUUCGUUACUCCAGACACCAAAGCAAGCUCUGAGCUGCAUCAUCCCUCAAGUCUGCAGUUUAGGCAUGGCUCAGAGGCCCCAGCCAAGGCGGCCAAAACCCAGCCAUGUGUUGCUCCUUAAGCCAUGUCUUCUGCUGAGAGUCUGCGUCAGCCCAGAGGAGGGGCCCUCGGUCUCCCUUGCCUGCCGGGAGGCCCUGUGGUUCCUGGUGUCCAGUGGGCUCAGCGUCACGUCCUGGAAGGAGCCACUACCCGCCUACUGCCCCACUGCAUUCCACUCCACACACAUUUGGGGAUCCAGCGCUCUGUGCAAGGCACUCCAUGUCAUCAUGAUGAAGGAGGACCAGCCGGAGUCCCCACCCCCAGACCCCUGCCCCAAGAUAGGCUGGCACAGAAUAAGAUGCCUGCACAAUUAGCCAUUGCAGGACUCGUCACCCAGGGUGUGUGUGGUCAUGAGCCACGCAGAAGGGAUAAUUCUCUCUUCCUCCUGGGGCCUGGGGGCCUUCACAGAGAACAGGACAGGGGCUUUUGCCUGGGCCCUGAAUAAUGAACAGAUCUCCCCAGGCCAAAGAGGAACUUCUCAGGCAGGGAACUGGCCUGCAUGAAGGUGUGGGAUUGGGAAGCGUGGACAGGGGCUCGUGGGGAGAAAUCAGAUCUUGCCAGCAGACAGACUGGAGCUCAAGCCUGCCUGACUUGCCUCCGGUUCUGUGGCUCUUGCCUGAAGGAGAAGUGAUUUUGAAUUAUCUACCUCUCUUCUUACCCCACAUGGAAGGAAAAAGUCUUUUUAUCUUGAAAGAUCUGGACUCCUUCUGCCUUCUGAGCAUCUGUAAGAUGGAGAUACUAAUAGGGCCUUCCCUAUAGAGAUAUUUUGAAGAUUAAAUGAGAGACCUCAUGGAAAGCUGUUAGCACAGAGCUGAGUAAGUAAGCAUUGUCAUUAGUUAUUAUUAUCCUAUUUUAUAGGCUACCACAGUGAUUCUCAACCGAUUUUACCCCUCAGAGGUCAUUUGGCAAUGGCUGGAGACAUGUUUGGUUGUCACAACUUGCAGGAGUGGGAGGGAGGCUGCUCCCCGCCCCUGGUGGGUAGGGCCAGGGUGCUGCUAAGCACCCACCAUGCACAGGGCAGCCCCCACAGCAGAGCAGAGCCCCCCCAGAAUGCAGAGAGCACAGAGGCUGAGAAGGCCUGGGCUGGGGGGUUUCACCUUCUCCUGAAGACAGUGCGGUGACCACGAUUUUCAAGCAGGGAAUGACAUCAUAAAAUCUAAGUUUCAGAAAGAAAAAUCUGGCAACAUUGUGACAUGUCUAGAAAGCUCAGCCAGGGGCACUGCAGACCUGCAGAUGAGACCGGGGGGAAGGAGGGCUGGGUCUGCAGCAAGACCAGGAGGCCGCACAUUGGCAAGAAGAGAGCAGGAGAACCUGCUGAGGGCUAGAGGAAGGAAGGGACAGGCCUGGGGCCACUGGAGGACCCUAAAGUUUCCAGCGCAUGGACCUGAGCAGAUGGUAGUGCCGCCUUUCAACAGCAUAGGAAGAAAAGACUCCAUUUGGGAACUGUGUCCUCCAGGGCCCAGGUUGGGGGAAGCUCCUCCACCAACCUGUACGUGAGCCAUGCCCCUCCAGUCCAUCUGCUCCCACUCAAGGGGGGACCACCCUUCAAGAGACCCUCACCCAGCCCAUCAGUGCCCAAGAGAGGCAGGCAUCCAACUGCACCAUCUCCCUCUCCUUCCCCAUGCAGCUCCCUCUGAAUGAUGAUCAGUGAGGCCCUGCAAGACAGCCUCCCGAGGCCGAGCCACCGAGCUACAGGACGAAGAUGAUCUUUCUGGGCUCCUGAUGUCCAGACCCUGUCUUGUCUUUCAGCAUGUUCAGAAUACCUGUGGCUGCUGUGGGCAGAGAGGAGGUACCGGGGAAGUCCUGGCAGACUUAUCUAUCGGCAGAGAGACUGAGUCUCCAUGCCACCCCAAUUCCCCCUGCCCUUUUGACUGAGCUCUGAACACAAGUUAGAGGAGCUGGGGGAAAGCUCCAAGCAGUCAAUACAUCAACCAGUGAGCACGUGACAUGUCCUGUCUCGUGCUCAGCGCUGGGGAGGACAUCCCCACAAAUAUCACAGCUCAAAUUCACUGGUUGGGAAGGCAAGACUCACAGGCAGAGAAGAGUCAAAAAACUAUUAAAGAGGCCCCUGGCAUAGUCUGAGGAGCCCUGGAUAGAGGUAAGACCAGAGUUCUAUCCCCAGGCCUCAGGCCUGAAGCAGGUCCCUGUACUUCCAAAAGCUCCAGCUACACCAAGUUAUAGACAACUUCUCAUGGCCUGGAUUGUGGAUGGCAGUGGCGCAUCUGAUUGAUGGGUACUGAUGCCUGGAGCACUGUGCUGAGGAGGAAUCCGAGGCAGCAGCAAGUUUAGUAGGACUGUGAUGGCCAACCGGCGAGGCGAGCGGUAGGUGCCACCGGGAUGUCAUGGGGAUGUACCUCCUGCUUAUUAACCCUUCUGGUUAAGAGCAACUGACUGGAGCCAUUUCUAAGGACUCCUCCAGCUCCCAAAUGGGAUAAUUCUAUGAUGGAAACGUUACAUUUCAAGGCACUGGCUGGAGCAGAAUAAGGCAAAGCAGGAAGAGAUCUGCAUGGGUUGGGCUGAUCAGGGAAGGCUUUGGGAAGGAGGCGGCACUUUAGUGCGGCCUCAAGGUGGGGGAGUGUGAGUAGCUGUACCGGAGGUGGGAGGACGUUUAUGUGCAUAAAACUGGGGCUGAGCAUGGGCUGUUCUUGGUACAGGAGGGAGGCGGCUAGCAUCGCUGGAAUGCGUUGUCUGUGUUUGGGGCAAGUAUGAUUACAUAUGGGAGAGCACACUGCCUGAGAGCUUCCCACAUUGAAGCCACAAGCAAAGAUGACGUUCCAUGCAUGCUGGCUUCCAGUCCUCACAGCUCGUCUUCAAGGCAAAUGCUCUUCCCAGCCUUCCCUAGCAUUCUGUGACUUGCUCAGGGCUACCGCUGGCAGGUGCGAAUCCUGCAUUCAGCCUGGGCAGUGCGGUUCUGAUGGCUUCGGGCAUAACUUCUCUGCUCUGGUGCCUUCUCUACUCUUAGAAGCUGACCAGUAAGGAAACCCAGCAAUGCAGUUGAGACACCAUGGCCGGAUCUGUGGAUUCUAGGGACCAGGAAGAGGCAGGAACAGCUGUAGACUGAGGAAGGAGGGCCUUGCUUGAGCCAUCAGUCACACAAACAGAUCCAAGCAAAGAACAGGGCAAGGUGGACACAGAUCAAAGAUGGGCACUAAAUGCCACUGGGUUAGGGCUUGCUUUAGACCCCCCCAAGUCCUACAUAAUCUACUGGAAACAACAAAAAGUGUCCCAACCCUCUGGGAAUAGGCAAGAAGGUGUGGGAGGUCAUGAAAUUCCAGGGACGUGGGGCUCAGCCUGUGAGGAUGGGAAUAGAGCCUGCCAUGGUCUUAACACCAGCCCAGAGGCAGAAGGCAACUGUCUAAAUAAAGAUCUCAUUUCA
rnacentral:lncRNA from 1 species